rnacentral:rRNA from 1 species
CGUGAGUAACCUGCCCUUGACUCUGGGAUAAGCGUUGGAAACGACGUCUAAUACCGGAUACGAACCGCGAAGGCAUCUUCAGUGGUUGGAAAGAAUUUUGGUCAAGGAUGGACUCGCGGCCUAUCAGGUAGUUGGUGAGGUAAUGGCUCACCAAGCCUACGACGGGUAGCCGGCCUGAGAGGGUGACCGGCCACACUGGGACUGAGACACGGCCCAGACUCCUACGGGAGGCAGCAGUGGGGAAUAUUGCACAAUGGGCGAAAGCCUGAUGCAGCAACGCCGCGUGAGGGACGACGGCCUUCGGGUUGUAAACCUCUUUUAGCAGGGAAGAAGCGAAAGUGACGGUACCUGC